AUCUACAAAUUGUCAAAGUUUUCACUCUAGCUCUGCGACCAAAUCCUCUCGCUAUAAAAAGCACGAAACGCAAACAGCUCUAAUCACUAUUCUCAUGGGGUUCAAGACAUCCCGGCUGUUCGCUGCUUAUACGCUAAAUUUAAUCUUUGUUCACGCUCUCGAGCUUGUACUAAUGGUUAAGAGGCCAUGUGAGCAGCGAAUUGCUGUGAUGUCGCGAAACAUUUUUGCAUCUCGGGCAGUGCAUGACCGAUAUUAAUGGUGGAGAAGACUACAUCUCCUUCCAUUAUAACCAUCUUUUGCCUCUAAAUCGUCCUUUUGAAUGAUUGUCUUGUCAUCAUCAAGGUGAGGGCGUGAAAUCCUACUUUCGUCUAUGCUUGGGUUCAAUUUGCCAGCGAAUAGUUAUUAACUUACCCUUUAGCUUCGUUAGCUCCAAUCGCUGUACAUAUCAUUUGAACAAUUUUGGGCUUACGGAUUUGUCUCUUUUUUCCCUCUCAGCACUAUUAUCCCUACGGUUGACAGUCAAGUUAUUGAAGAGAGG
rnacentral:lncRNA from 1 species